CGAUGAAGAACGCAGCGAAAUGCGAUAAGUAAUGUGAAUUGCAGAAUUCAGUGAAUCAUCGAAUCUUUGAACGCACCUUGCGCCUUUUGGUAUUCCGAAAGGCAUGCCUGUUUGAGUGUCAUGA
rnacentral:rRNA from 1 species